CAGGGUGUCGAGGUUGUCGUGCUCCGUGGAGGUUCAGCUGGCGGUGGUUGGGUUGCCGACCGCUGCCGGUGCAAUCUUCUGCGGAGUUGGACCGUCAGUUGGGAAGAGAUUGGGUCCUGUAUUAUCGAUGGUCGGGAGGUACGCCUUGAGUUUCCCUCGGGUUCUCAGGGUGACGUACAGCCGUUCUGUCGUGGUCCCGAUCGUCUUUCAGGUGUGUUGGAUGUCUGUUCGUCCAGAAUGGGAAGGUGCAGUCUCCCCUCGUGGGAGCUCGGGCCRGYGUYGGAGUCGUUCAGCCCUGUUGAAUCGUGUUCCGUUCUCUCUCCGUUUCGCUUCGGCAAGCGGGAAGAUCGCGGCACGACCGGCAUGUGUCUGGAUCUCUCGAUGCUGUGUUCAAGUUCUGCGCCAAGGUGACUGGCGAAGAG
rnacentral:rRNA from 1 species